AGUAGCUCAGCAGGCAGAGCUGAAUGUUCAGUCAAGCCUAAUCAAAGCUUAGUCUUUCUGGGGACCAGCUGCUAUCCAGACACUCCCAGGAAAUGACUCUCAAAGAGCCACCUCACUAGCACUAAUGCAGAUGGAGUCUCACUCUGUAGCCCAGGCUGGAGUGUAGUGGCACAAUCAUGGCUCACCGCAACCUCUGCCUGCUAGGUUCAAAUGAUUUUC
rnacentral:lncRNA from 1 species